GGCCCCAUCGUCUAGUGGCUAGGACAGGUGGUUCUCAUCCACCAAACAGGGGUUCGAUCCCCCUUGGGGCUACCA
rnacentral:tRNA from 1 species